AUUUGGACUUUACUCUUGGGUAAAAGAAAUCCAGUAGUAGUUAUUGAGUGGAUACAAUCAGAUCUACUCCUGGUGGAGGAUGGAAUGCAGAGGAACAAGACCGAAGGCCGGGAAGCCAGGUUAUGUCCAUGUUCGUAGAAAUACACAAUAAAGUCUGGAGGAUGACAGAGGAUCAAAUCAACAAUUCACUCUCAAUGGUUCCAGGGGAAAACAUUCUAUACACCGUACUUACAACUUUUCUGAAAAUGUUCUCCCUUUGAACUGGAAACACAAGGAGUUCCUUAGAAGAGAGGAUCGGGUGGUUGUAAAGUGAAGCAUGAACGAACGUUGAUAAGGCCUAUUUGAAGCUCUGGUGAGGAACACUUGUUGAAACAAUCAUAAUUAAAUUGCAGACCGUAAAACACAGCAAAGCCUGGGAACCUGCUCUUCAGUGGUUAAAGAGACACGCAACCCAACUAGCCAAUCAAGUGUUCUGGGACUAAAAAGAAUUGACAAAGAGCUUCGGAGUCAUUGCAACUGGCAGAACCAAAGCUCCAUGGGCAGGCUGGGGACUGUGGAAACAAGAUACGCUGCAACAAGUUCCAGAGCAAAACAAAGAAAGCAUUUUCAAACAUCUGUUGGGAGUUUAUAAAGUAAGGACGGGGGAGGCUCUGCCACAGCAUCCAGGGCGGCUGAAGGAAAUACCCAGGGCUGACGAAGAAUGGAUUCCUGGGCACAGGGGGGCGGCAGGAAUCAUAAUCUGUACUGAGUGUAACAUACCGUGAGCUUGUAGGAGUAGAAGCGAGUCGCUGAGAACAGUGUCCUUUACUCUAUAGUAAUGCCUUGCAUUUGCAGCAUUCUUGAUGGCUUAAAAUCCUCCAUACAGCCAUGCCUACGUGACCUGACAGUACCUUAAAAAUACAAAGCCCUGUCACUCUCCUCCGCUAGUUGUAAUCUUCACCCCUGCUCUGCAAUAGUCAUUAUCCCUGUUUUGCAAGUGAGAAAGGUUAGGCCUAUCAAAUGAAGAGAUCUACGGCAGAUCCCCCAACUCAUUUGUGGAGAAGCUAGGACUCAACUUCAGAGAUUUCCCUUCCCUGCGCCCGGCUCCCUCUUAUUGAUUUCUGCAAAUAAAUAAAAUGUAGCUCAGGCAACCAUAGCAGGUGAGAGCUGUAAGCCAACCUCCCAUUUGGCAGAUGAGAAAACUGAGGCACUUAAAGUACGAUUGAGGCUCCGUGCCGGGUUGCGUGGAUAUCAAUAGGGCUCAGACACUGGGUCCCAUCUCCUGAUCAUCCAGUUCAGAGCAUUCAUUCCACUCUGCUUUGCUUCCUCUCAUAGUUUAUGGGUCGCUAGAUAUAAAUCACCCAUGUUCAUUUGGAGACUUGGAAUAAAUACCCUUAAAAAGGGAAGUAGGGGAGUCUAACAGAUUAAAAAGUCAUUACAGUGAUUUAAAAGGGCAUCUCUGGCCUUUUACAUUUAGUGGCUUUAAAAGCUCGGACCUUCCAGCUUCUCACGCCUUGAUAUUAGAAUCAACAUACUUGCCACAGUGAGCAGUACAGAAAUAUUUGCUCUGAGUGAUGUCCAGAUUUCUCCUAUUGGUGUAGAUGGUUAUAAGCUCCAGACAAUGACGAAACUGCAAAAGUCAUUUUACGUUAGACUCUAGUAACAGGGAGGGAACAAUAGAAAGGAAAACUGGAUUCAAAACAUGAUUUCUAAAGUUACCAGUUAUUAGAAGCCACAUGAGGGCUAGCCCCAAGACAAGGUGGAAAUGAGUGUGCUUUGCAGGGGUGUGAACGGGUAUGCGUGCGCCCAUGCUCAUAGCAGCAUUACUCAAUAGCCAAAAGACGGAAGCAACCUGAGUGUCCAUCAACAGAUGAAUGGAUAAGCGAAGUGUGCUGUAUCCGUACAUACAAUGGGAUAAUCUGUAGCUGUGAAGAGGAAGGGAAUUUUGACACGUUACAGCAUGUCAUUAUUUCCAUAAUGAAGACAUUAUGCUAAGUGAAAUAAGCCAGUCAUGAAAGGACAAAUAUUAUAUGAUUCCUCUUAGAUGAUGUUCUUACUUAGUGAAAUUCAUGCAGACAGAAAGUAGAAUGCUGGUCUCUAGGGACUGUGAAAAGUGGUGAAUAGGGAGUUAGUGUUUAACAGGUGUCAAGUUUCAAAAAAAAAAAAUGAGUGUGCCUUGUUAUUUUGUUUCCUCCCUCAUUUCCUAUGGGCAAUAGGGCUAUGUGUCCUUGGGACAGCCUGGGGACUCCAGUUCAAGCUCCAGGUUUUUUUCCUCCCUUUUCAAAAUGUUCACUGAACAUAGCACUACAAGCAAACAAUAAGACGAAUCCAGAAUGUGGGACAUUAUAUAAGACAGGCUGGCCUCUUGAAAAGUCGGUGUCCCUAAAAAAGGAAUGAAGGGGAGGUUAUUCUAGAUUGAAAGAGACAUAACGAAACACAAUGCAUGCAUGAGCUAUGAUUGGUUCCUAGUUAGAAAAGAAAAAAAAAAACUCUAAAAGACAUUUGGGGAACAACAGAAAAGGUGUGACUAUUGACUUAGUAUUAGGUAAUAUUUAAAGAUCAUUGUCAUUUGUUCUAGAUGUAGUAAUGGUAUCGGGGUUAUGUCGGAGAGUCUCUUCAUUCGGAGGACCUACAUGCUGAAGUAUGUAGGAGUGAAGGUCACGACGUUUGCAAUUUUCAAAUGACUGAGGGAAAAAAUAUAUGUGCACGCAACAGCAAAGAAACUGUACAAAACCCACAAAUAACAGCA